CGUAAACAAGUUGGAAACGUGUGGCACGUCUCCUUAGUUUUGUUCUCUAGAAGCCCCCCUCUACUUUAAAUCCGGGCACUUUAGUUCAAACAAAGAAAUACAGCCACCUUUCUAGAUUAACAAAUACACGUGAUGUGACCUGCUUCUAUUAAAUUAAACCCAUCAUUGAGUCUUGUUUUAUUGCUUAUGUUCAGUUCACCCCCUUCUGAUUGCCUAGGAGACUACAGUGCUAAAAAAUCCCUCACUCCAAAGACACAGGGAAAUGGAUAGAUUCCAGCGCUUUCUGCUUCUGCUGUUGCUUGUAAUCUCAGUUUCUGCAUCUCAGGUGCCCCUGGCUUCAGAGGCAAGGCCACUAUCCAUCCUGCCUGAUCAACAAAGUUACUCGAAGAUUUUUGCUACUCUUGGUGUUGUCUGCAAGUGUUGCGAUGGACCUGGAGGUGAAUGCUCCACUACUUGGACCCAACCCUGCUCUCAGCUCAAGUGCCUGCCUUGGAAACUACAUUAGAGUCUUUCCCAAUUUUUGUUCUCUCUUUUCUUCCCCGUUUUGGGUUUUAUGUACAUGUAUCUACAUUAAUAGAUACCAAAAUAUUGGAUCAUGUUCACCCACUUUGUUGCUCACUUUGAGAGCUUAAUUUCCAGUAUCCGAAUCAUGCCCUGAAGCUAAUUAAAGCUUCAAGCUUCA